CAGGUAGCUUGNCUUCCUCUGNGGAUGCACGCAGAUGCGCGCGACGGGGUUGUAGNUAAUGNUCCUGGGAAACUGCCCGAUGGAGGGGGAUAACUACUGGAAACGGUAGCUAAUACCGCAUAACGUCGCAAGACCAAAGUGGGGGACCUUCGGGCCUCACACCAUCGGAUGUGCCCAGAUGGGAUUAGCUAGUAGGUGGGGUAAUGGCUCACCUAGGCGACGAUCCCUAGCUGGUCUGAGAGGAUGACCAGCCACACUGGAACUGAGACACGGUCCAGACUCCUACGGGAGGCAGCAGUGGGGAAUAUUGCACAAUGGGCGCAAGCCUGAUGCAGCCAUGCCGCGUGUAUGAAGAAGGCCUUCGGGUUGUAAAGUACUUUCAGCGGGGAGGAAGGCGGUGAGGUUAAUAACCUUACCGAUUGACGUUACCCGCAGAAGAAGCACCGGCUAACUCCGUGCCAGCAGCCGCGGUAAUACGGAGGGUGCAAGCGUUAAUCGGAAUUACUGGGCGUAAAGCGCACGCAGGCGGUCUGUCAAGUCGGAUGUGAAAUCCCCGGGCUUAACCUGGGAACUGCAUUCGAAACUGGCAGGCUAGAGUCUUGUAGAGGGGGGUAGAAUUCCAGGUGUAGCGGUGAAAUGCGUAGAGAUCUGGAGGAAUACCCGGUGGCGAAGGCGGCCCCCUGGACAAAGACUGACGCUCAGGUGCGAAAGCGU
rnacentral:rRNA from 1 species